GUGAGGAAUAUUGGUCAAUGGACGAGAGUCUGAACCAGCCAAGUCGCGUGAAGGAAGACGGUUCUAUGAAUUGUAAACUUCUUUUGUGCAGGAAUAAAGUGGGUUACGUGUAACCUUUUGUAUGUACUGUACGAAUAAGGAUCGGCUAACUCCGUGCCAGCAGCCGCGGUAAUACGGAGGAUCCGAGCGUUAUCCGGAUUUAUUGGGUUUAAAGGGUGCGUAGGUGGAUUGAUAAGUCAGCGGUGAAAGUUUGCAGCUUAACUGCAAAAUUGCCGUUGAAACUGUCGGUCUUGAGUGCAAAUGAGGUAGGCGGAAUGUGUUGUGUAGCGGUGAAAUGCUUAGAUAUAACACAGAACUCCGAUUGCGAAGGCAGCUUACUGGGAUGCAACUGACACUGAUGCACGAAAGCGUGGGUAUCAAACAGGAUUAGAUACCCCGGUAGUCC
rnacentral:rRNA from 1 species